rnacentral:rRNA from 1 species
GUGGGGAAUAUUGGACAAUGGGCGCAAGCCUGAUCCAGCCAUGCCGCGUGAGUGAUGAAGGCCCUAGGGUUGUAAAGCUCUUUCACCGGUGAAGAUAAUGACGGUAACCGGAGAAGAAGCCCCGGCUAACUUCGUGCCAGCAGCCGCGGUAAUACGAAGGGGGCUAGCGUUGUUCGGAAUUACUGGGCGUAAAGCGCACGUAGGCGGGUAUUUAAGUCAGGGGUGAAAUUCCGGAGCUCAACUCCGGAACUGCCUUUGAUACUGGGUACCUAGAGUAUGGAAGAGGGAAGUGGAAUUCCGAGGGUAGAGGUGAAAUUCGUAGAUAUUCGGAGGAACACCAGUGGCGAAGGCGGCUUACUGGUCCAUUACUGACGCUGAGGUGCGAAAGCGUGGGGAGCAAACAGGAUUAGAAACCCUUGUAGUCC